CAGUCGCCGCGGUAAUACGUAGGGUGCGAGCGUUAAUCGGAAUUACUGGGCGUAAAGCGUGCGUAGGCGGUGAGUUAAGUCUGCUGUGAAAUCCCCGGGCUCAACCUGGGAAUGGCAGUGGAUACUGGCUCGCUAGAGUGUGUCAGAGGAUGGUGGAAUUCCCGGUGUAGCAGUGAAAUGCGUAGAGAUCGGAAGGAACAUCUGUGGCGAAGGCGACUAUCUGGGCCAACACUGACACUGAGACACGAAAGCGUGGGGAGCAAACAGGAUUAGAUACCCCAGUAGUCCCUGUCUCUUAUAA
rnacentral:rRNA from 1 species